rnacentral:tRNA from 1 species
GGGAUGUUAGCUCAAUUGGGAGAGCGCCUCGUUUACACCGAGGAGGGAAAAGGAUCGUAACCUUUACGUCCCA